GUUUAUUCGUUGGUCCCUAGUGGAUAGUUGUCUCAUUGUUUAUUCGUUGGUCCCUGGUUGAUAGUUGUGUUCAUUGUUUAUUCGUUGGUCCCUGGUGGAUAGUUGUCUCAUUGUUUAUUCGUUGGUCCCUGGUGGAUAGUUGUUGUUCAUUGUUUAUUCGUUGGUCCCUGGUGGAUAGUUGUCUCAUUGUUUAUUCGUUGGUCCCUAGUGGAUAGUUGUUUUCAUUGUUUAUUCCUUGGUCCCUGGUGGAUAGUUGUCUCAUUGUUUAUUCGUUGGUCCCUGGUGGAUAGUUGAGUUCAUUGUUUAUUCGUUGGUCCCUGGUGGAUAGUUGUAUCAUUGUUUAUUCGUUGGUCCCUGGUUGAUAGUUGAGUUCAUUGUUUAUUCGUUGGUCCCUGGUGGAUAGUUGUUCAUUGUUUAUUCGUUGGUCCCUGGUGGAUAGUUGUCUCAUUGUUUAUUCGUUGGUCCCUGGUUGAUAGUUGUGUUCAUUGUUUAUUCGUUGGUCCCUGGUGGAUAGUUGUCUCAUUGUUUAUUCGUUGGUCCCUGGUGGAUAGUUGAGUUCAUUGUUUAUUCGUUGGUCCCUGGUGGAUAGUUGUGUUCAUUGUUUAUUCGUUGGUCCCUAGUUGAUAGUUAUGUUCAUUGUUUAUUCGUUGGUCCCUGGUGGAUAGUUGUUUUCAUUGUUUAUCCGUUGGUCCCUGGUGGAUAGUUGUCUCAUUGUUUAUUCGUUGAUCCCUGUUUGAUAGUUGUCUCAUUGUUAUUCGUUGGUCCCUGGUGGAUAGUUGUCUCAUUGUUUAUUCGUUGGUCCCUAGUUGAUAGUUAUGUUCAUUGUUUAUUCUUGGUCCCUGGUGGAUAGUUGUCUCAUUGUUUAUUCGGUGGUCUCUGGUUGAUAGUUAUGUUCAUUGUUUAUUCGUUCGUCCUUGGUGGAUAGUUGAGUUCAUUGUUUAUUCGGUGGUCCCUGGUGGAUAGUUGUCUCAUUGUUUAUUCGUUGGUCCCAGGUGGAUAGUUGUCUCAUUGUUUAUUCGUUAGUCCCUUGUGGAUAGUUGUCUCAUUGUUUAUUCGUUGGUCCCUGGUUGAUAGUUUUGUUCAUUGUUUAUUCGUUGGUCCCUGGUUGAUAGUUGUGUUCAUUGUUUAUUCGUUGGUCCCUGAUGGAUAGUUGUCUCGUUCAAUUUGGCAAUAAUAACACAUAUCCUAGUAAUCAACAUAAUUUACUUUUUUGUUUUUAUUAUAUGGCUUUUCAAGCUACGGUUUUUGUAAAGAUUUUUGCAUUCGUGAUACUGAUAAGGGGUCUUGAAUCAGUCUUUAUUCAUCUUAUGUAG
rnacentral:lncRNA from 1 species